AUGAACUCCACUGCCACUUUGAGUGCAUUAAUAGAUGCCAGGUUCAUCAGGCUUGUUGAUGACCAUGUUGGUUCCCCUCCAGCCAGAUCAGAUACUCCCCGGAACACAAUCACAGCGCAAAUGUUGCCACAUAUUUAAGUAAAGACUAUGAGAGAUAAGAUAUGGAACCCACCAUCACCACUGCUGCGCUUUCUUCAUCUAUUGUUGACACCGCAAAUUCUCUGAAAAGGAACUUCCGGUAUUCUGCAUUGUCUAGAAACAUGUCGGCUGAUGCUCCUUUUAGCCCAUGAACCACUUGUGGCGUUUUUGUGUACCAUACAGUUUAAAGUGCACAAGAAAUGGGGAAUAAAAGCUAAUUACAGGAGAGUACCUUCCAUGUCCAAGCACCUGUAUAAGCAACUAACUUUGGGACACUGACAUCGCCAAAUGACAUUGAAUCAUUAGAGCUUCCUGCUGUGCCAUAAUGGACAAUACCAGACACAGUAAAGACAUCGAGGAGAGUUUGUACAGUUACAGCUGCAUUCAACUGGAAGAACAAAGAAAUAGUGGUAACGGGAGCUCCUCCAUAUAACAGCAGGAGUGUACAUGCAGAAGUUCAGGUUUUAGUACCCUGCGUUGUCCUGUCAAUGCGUAUAUAACAUUCGCACCUCGAAUACUCCCGAUGUGAAACCUCCGUCCUGAAAUAAUAUGAGGCGAGACUAUUCUUGAGGCAAUUGGAAGAUAAAUACACAUAUGCAUUAAAGACUGAAAUACUUAGUCAUGGAGCUCGAAUGAGAGGUCAGUCCUAUCAGGAGAAUAGCAAAAUCAGUGAACAUGUAAAAAAGAUUAUGUCGCUUUCUGGACCCCCUUUCCAUAGCUGUUAUCCAAAACGAGUGAAUGGGCCAAUCUGCAUUCUGGUCUUGGAAGGGAGUCCAGGUCUUUGUGAGCGCAGAUCAUGCAAAUUUGCAGAGCCAGUAAGGAAAGCCGAAAGCGAUUCGGAUCAGAAACGGGAGGCGGAGACUCACCGUAGAGGUCAACGAAGGGCUGGACACGCCAGGGCCGGAAGUAGCCGGAGGCCUGGAGCGCGUUGUCCUCGGCGACGUACGACAUGACGAGUCCA